UGGGGAAUAUUGCACAAUGGGCGAAAGCCUGAUGCAGCGACGCCGCGUGCGGGAUGAAGGCCUUCGGGUUGUAAACCGCUUUUAAUUGGGAGCAAGCGAGAGUGAGUGUACCUUUUGAAUAAGCACCGGCUAACUACGUGCCAGCAGCCGCGGUAAUACGUAGGGUGCAAGCGUUAUCCGGAAUUAUUGGGCGUAAAGAGCUCGUAGGCGGUUUGUCACGCCUGGUGUGAAAGUCCAUCGCUUAACGGUGGAUCUGCGCCGGGUACGGGCAGGCUAGAGUGCAGUAGGGGAGAUUGGAAUUCCCGGUGUAACGGUGGAAUGUGUAGAUAUCGGGAAGAACACCAAUGGCGAAGGCAGAUCUCUGGGCUGUUACUGACGCUGAGGAGCGAAAGCAUGGGGAGCGAACAGGAUUAGAUACCCGUGGUAGUCCAUGCCGUAAACGGUGGAUGCUGGAUGUGGGACCCUUCCACGGGUUCCGUGUCGGAGCUAACGCGUUAAGCAU
rnacentral:rRNA from 1 species